rnacentral:lncRNA from 1 species
GUUCGUUCUUUUGGUGUACUGUUAUACCACUGUCCCAGGUUAGGGGAAGGUUUGUGAUCCCGCUAACAUGUUUAACCCCGCCACAUUAUUUAUGUAUGUGCCUGUCCCAAGUCACCAGGAGCCUGUAAUUCAGUGGUUGUCAUUUGUUUAUGUGUUACAUAUUUGUUUUUCGUUUAUUUUUUUAUAUAAAUAAGGCCGUUAGUUUUCUCAUUUGAAUUGUUUUACAUUGUCAUAUCAGGGCCUUUUAUAGCUGACUAUGCGGUAUGGGCUGUGCUCAAUGUUGAAGGCCGUACGGUGACCUAUAGUUGUUAAUGUCUGUUUCAUUUUGGUCUCUUGUGGACAGUUGUCUCAUUGGCAAUCAUACCACAUCUUCUUUUUUAUAUGUUCCUGUAACAUUAAGUGAUAGGAGGAACAGAGCAGACACAAUCUAUGACAGACAGACAACCUAAUUGGUGUAUGACUCUUAU